GUGCCAGCAGCCGCGGUAAUACAUAGGGGUCAAGCGUUGUCCGGAUUUAUUGGGCGUAAAGAGCUCGUAGGCGGUUCAACAAGUCGGUCGUAAAAGUUUAGGGCUCAACCCUAAAAUGUCGAUCGAUACUGUUGUGACUAGGAUACGGUAGAGGUGAAUGGAAUUCUCGGUGUAGCAGUGAAAUGCGUAGAUAUCGAGAGGAACAUCAAUGGCGAAGGCAACUUACUGGACAUUUACUGACGCUCAGACACGAAGGCUAGGGGAGCGAAAGGGAUUAGAUA
rnacentral:rRNA from 1 species